AAUCCUCCAUCUGCUGCGGCGCGAUGAAGUGGAUGUGGCUGUCGAACCCGCCGGCGGUCAGGAUGCGCCCUUCGCCGGCGAUGAUCUCCGUCCCCGGCCCGAUGAUGAUGUCGACGCCCGGCUGCGUGUCCGGGUUGCCCGCCUUGCCGAUCUUGUGGAUGCGUCCGUCCUUCAGGGCGACGUCCGCCUUCCAGAUGCCCGCGUGAUCCACGAUCAGCGCAUUGGUGAUGACCGUGUCGACGGCCCCGCCCGCGCGCGUGACCUGCGACUGCCCCAUCCCGUCGCGGAU
rnacentral:sRNA from 1 species